GACGAACGCUGGCGGCGUGCUUAACACAUGCAAGUCGAACGGUGAAGGGACCAGCUUGCUGGUUCUGGAUGAGUGGCGAACGGGUGAGUAACACGUGAGUAACCUGCCCCCUUCUUCUGGAUAACCGCAUGAAAGUGUGGCUAAUACGGGAUAUUCUGGGCCUGUCGCAUGGCGGGCCCGGGAAAGAUAUUGCUUCGGUGGGGGAUGGGCUCGCGGCCUAUCAGCUUGUUGGUGGGGUGAUGGCCUACCAAGGCGGUGACGGGUAGCCGGCCUGAGAGGGUGGACGGUCACACGGGGACUGAGACACGGCCCAGACGCCUACGGGAGGCAGCAGUGGGGAAUAUUGCACAAUGGGCGCAAGCCUGAUGCAGCGACGCCGCGUGAGGGAUGGAGGCCUUCGGGUUGUAAACCUCUUUCGCCAGUGAAGCAGGCCUGCUCCUUGUGGGUGGGUUGACGGUAGCUGGAUAAGAAGCGCCGGCUAACUACGUG
rnacentral:rRNA from 1 species